rnacentral:rRNA from 1 species
CCCUUAGAUGUUCUGGGCUGCACGCGCGCUACACUGAUGCACUCAACGAGUUUACGACCUUGCCCGAUAGGGUUGGGUAAUCUUUUUAAAAUGCAUCGUGAUGGGGAUAGAUUAUUGCAAUUAUUAAUCUUCAACGAGGAAUUCCUAGUAAGCGCGAGUCAUCAGCUCGUGCUGAUUACGUCCCUGCCCUUUGUACACACCGCCCGUCGCUCCUACCGAUUGAGUGCUCAGGUGAAUAAUUCGGACUGCAGCAAUGUUUGGAUCCCGAACGUUGCAGCGGAAAGUUUAGUGAACCUUAUCACUUAGAGGAAGGAGAAGUCGUAAC